GCCCGCAGGGCUCAGUGGUAGAGCGGAUCACUAGUACAUCCAACUUCUUCCCAACGAAAGGAGUAUUGAAUACUUGGAAUAAUGAGGUCGUCAGUUCAAUUCUGGCUGUGGGCA